CCUACGGGAGGCAGCAGUGAGGAAUAUUGGUCAAUGGACGAGAGUCUGAACCAGCCAAGUAGCGUGAAGGAUGACUGCCCUAUGGGUUGUAAACUUCUUUUAUAUGGGAAUAAAACGUUCCACGUGUGGGAUUUUGUAUGUACCAUAUGAAUAAGGAUCGGCUAACUCCGUGCCAGCAGCCGCGGUAAUACGGAGGAUCCGAGCGUUAUCCGGAUUUAUUGGGUUUAAAGGGAGCGUAGGUGGAUUGUUAAGUCAGUUGUGAAAGUUUGCGGCUCAACCGUAAAAUUGCAGUUGAAACUGGCAGUCUUGAGUACAGUAGAGGUGGGCGGAAUGCGUGGUGUAGCGGUGAAAUGCUUAGAUAUCACGAAGAACUCCGAUUGCGAAGGCAGUUCACUGGACUGAAACUGACACUGAGGCUCGAAGGUGUGGGUAUCAAACAGGAUUAGAUACCCCUGUAGUC
rnacentral:rRNA from 1 species